rnacentral:rRNA from 1 species
GAUGAACGCUAGCGGCAGGCUUAAUACAUGCAAGUCAAGGGGGUAGCAAUACAACCGGCGCACGGGUGAGUAACGCGUACACAACAUACCAUAUACUGGGGUAUAGCUUUGGGAAACUGAAGGUAAUCCCCCAUAACAUUGCGAGAGGGCAUCCGAUAGCAAUUAAAGUUUCGGCGGUAUAUGAUUGGUGUGCGUUUGAUUAGCUAGUUGGUAGGGUAACGGCCUACCAAGGCGACGAUCAAUAGCUGGCGUGAGAGCGCGACCAGCCACACUGGAACUGAGACACGGUCCAGACUCCUACGGGAGGCAGCAGUAGGGAAUAUUGGACAAUGGGCGCAAGCCUGAUCCAGCCAUGCCGCGUGAUAGAUGAAGGCCCUCUGGGUUGUAAAUAUCUUUUUAAUCUGGGAAGAAACUCCUCUAUUCUUAGAGGCCUGACGGUACCAGAGGAAUAAGCACCGGCUAACUCCGUGCCAGCAGCCGCGGUAAUGUA